rnacentral:rRNA from 1 species
AUUAAACGCUGGCGGCAUGCCUUACACAUGCAAGUCGAACGGUAGCGCGGGGCAACCUGGCGACGAGUGGCGAACGGGUGAGUAAAGCAUCGGAACGUGCCCUGGAAUGGGGGAUAACGUAGCGAAAGUUACGCUAAUACCGCAUAUUCUGUGAGCAGGAAAGCAGGGGAUCGCAAGACCUUGCGUUCUGGGAGCGGCCGAUGUCGGAUUAGCUAGUUGGUGGGGUAAAAGCCUACCAAGGCGACGAUCCGUAGCGGGUCUGAGAGGAUGAUCCGCCACACUGGGGACUGAGACACGGCCCAGACUCCUACGGGAGGCAGCAGUGGGGAAUUUUGGACAAUGGGCGGAAGCCUGAUCCAGCCAUGCCGCGUGAGUGAAGAAGG